AGUCGGACGGUAGCACAGAGGAGCUUGCUCCUCGGGUGACGAGUGGCGGACGGGUGAGUAAUGUCUGGGGAUCUGCCCGAUAGAGGGGGAUAACCACUGGAAACGGUGGCUAAUACCGCAUAACGUCGCAAGACCAAAGAGGGGGACCUUCGGGCCUCUCACUAUCGGAUGAACCCAGAUGGGAUUAGCUAGUAGGCGGGGUAACGGCCCACCUAGGCGACGAUCCCUAGCUGGUCUGAGAGGAUGACCAGCCACACUGGAACUGAGACACGGUCCAGACUCCUACGGGAGGCAGCAGUGGGGAAUAUUGCACAAUGGGCGCAAGCCUGAUGCAGCCAUGCCGCGUGUAUGAAGAAGGCCUUCGGGUUGUAAAGUACUUUCAGCGGGGAGGAAGGCGAUGUGGUUAAUAACCGUNUCGAUUGACGUUACCCGCAGAAGAAGCACCGGCUAACUCCGUGCCA
rnacentral:rRNA from 1 species